rnacentral:rRNA from 1 species
GACGAACGCUGGCGGCGUGCUUAACACAUGCAAGUCGAACGGAAAGGCCUCUUUCGGGGGGUACUCGAGUGGCGAACGGGUGAGUAACACGUGAGUAACCUGCCCUUGACUUUGGGAUAACUUCAGGAAACUGGGGCUAAUACCGGAUAGGAGCUCCUGCUGCAUGGUGGGGAUUGGAAAGUUUCGGCGGGUGGGGAUGGACUCGCGGCUUAUCAGCUUGUUGGUGGGGUAGUGGCUUACCAAGGCUUUGACGGGUAGCCGGCCUGAGAGGGUGACCGGCCACAUUGGGACUGAGAUACGGCCCAGACUCCUACGGGAGGCAGCAGUGGGGAAUAUUGCACAAUGGGUGGAAGCCUGAUGCAGCAACGCCGUGUGCGGGAUGACGGCCUUUGGGUUGUAAACCGCUUUCGCUCAUGACGAAGCUUUGUGUGACGGUAGUGGGUAAAGAAGCACCGGCUAACUACGUG